rnacentral:lncRNA from 1 species
AUGGAUACAUGGGUCACACCUCCAGGUGUCGGCCGGAUCUGGGCGAUGCUUGUGCGAUCAACGACCGCGGAGAUCACGGUCCCUCUUUGCCCAUCCCUUCUUACCCUUGAGAGUCGCAAGUACGGAUCUGAGGUUCAUUGUGUCGUCAAAUAUGGAUACAUGGGUCACACCUCCAGGUGUCGGCCGGAUCUGGGCGAUGCUUGUGCGAUCAACGACCGCGGAGAUCACGGUGUCGGCCGGAUCUGGGCGAUGCUUGUGCGAUCAACGACCGCGGAGAUCACG